ACAUUUCAAGUUAAGUGUAUUUUGAACAAUGUGAAGAUAAUUUAAAAAAAAAAUCAUAGGCACCUAAGUUUUUAAUAAAAUUUUGCAAAAAUAGCUAUUUCUUAAUUUAUUCUAGUUUAUUUACCAUUAUUUUAAUAAAGCUAGGGAAACAGUUCGGCUGACACUUUUUUCUGAUCACUGAGUGGUUAGAAGUAGAGAAGUUGAAGCCCCAGCAGUACCCUGUCCUGGAAUAUAGUAUUAGUACAUAGUGACAAAAGCCAGAUAAACUUACACUUAGAUUGUAGGUGGUUAAUUUUACUGUCUGCCUGAGUACCACGUAUUGUCUGAACGUGCAAUGUUAUCAAGGGGUCACAACCUUCUAUGUGAAGAUGUGAAAAUUCUGCAUUCUUCCAAGAAAAGUAAUUACCAAGUUCUUAAACACUAGAUUCUCAAAAUUUCCUUGCCCUGAAUUACUAACAGUAUUUGAUCUGUUUGGAAAUAGCUUAAGAGGAAUAUCCUGAUACAUAGAGUCAUUGAUCUAGCAGUAAAUCUCAUAAAGAAGAGCAAAAGUAAAUAAAUGAUUCAUACUUUAAUUACUUUCUAAAAUAUAUUUAUAAUCUCUGAUAUUCACCGAAAGGAAAAUAAUACGAAUAUGAAUUUGUACUGUUGUGAUAUAUAAAAUUUGUCCAUAAACACAUCUGUCUUUCCCUAAGUUUAUCUGACAGUGUCUGUCUCAAAACAAUGAUGGCAGGCCUUCAGGGGUAUGAAGGGGUUGGCAUUCAUGACACGCAAGUGCGUACAUGCAGACAUGAGUGUCCAGUGCAUCCACUGAACAACUGCCAAGGGUUUGGCUGUGAAAAAAGAAUCGGAUGUUGCCAUUUAUCACCAGAACCUGAAAUGGAAACAGGCACAGCAAAGCAGCCUGCUGGGUGCAUCUGUUAUGCCUCACUGACAUACAUACACAGAGUAUGAAUAACCCUUUAUCUGCCUUACUCUCCACCUGUUGCUGCUCUUUACAUGUGUACUAUGCUGAGCACAACAGAUUUGCGUUGCCUUCAUUUUGUACCUUCUAAAUCUUGCCCAUGUAUUGAGGACUGCUGCAGUGUGUUGGAAAAGACUUUGUACAGUAACUGCUAAAUACAUCUCUCAGUACUUUCCCCCCAUUUUGAAGAGUCUCUUGAGUGCCUUCUCUCCCAUUCUUCUGUUUAUGACACCAUGAAUUGAACUCAGGAAGACAGCCUCGGUUUUGCUGUAGUCUUUAUAUUUAUGUUAGUGGACUUCCCUGCUAAUCAUUGGAGUUGCAAGAAUCAGGUUUUUGAAGGCAUCAGCUGUUUCCUCUGCUCAGUGUGAUAAAUAUCAGUCUAAUUUUUUGAACACGACUCAGGCAUUGAAGAAGACUGCUCUGUCUCCUGACUGCCAGAGGAUCUGGUUUUGGCAGUAAGCCCUAAUGCUCUGCCAAAGAGCUGGAGCAGUGUGAGUUCUGAACUGCGAAUGACAACAGCUUAGGAGCCAGGUAUCUGUAUUUGUUCCUCCUUGCUGUGAAUGCUCCGGGCUGAACUCAGUGCUAUGGUGUUAUUUGCCCAUAAGGGGAAGCAAUUGUAACGCUGCUCCAGAGGACGUGUUCUGCUUCACCAAGAGCACAGCAUGUCUAAGUAUGUGUAGUAGCACAAUUCAGGUCCCCAAAUAACUUUUCUAUUAGUUACUGCUAGGUGAGAAACUAUAGCUGUCAACAGGGCCUUGGGGAUGGCCAUGGUUCAUCAGACAGCUUCUAAUUUGCUGAUCUAAACUUAACUACCUAAUUUAAUUCUAAAUUAUUUUUUAAAUACCAGACUUGUUCCUGAAUCUGACCAUAGGCCUUCAUUGUUUCUAAAAAUUGGACUCAUGCCUAUUGAUACUGAGGGGCAGUGCUGUCCUUGAAACUUCAGUAACCAUUUUUGUGGUACCAGAGACAAAGGUGGUAGCUUUACUUGGCUUGGCAGUUUAAAGAUUGACGACAAAUUUCUUGCUGUGAUAAACUUAUUGAGUAAAUCAGCCUUUACAGAAAUAUUUUAAUCUGAGAAGUUAGGAUUUCUUUAUUACAGCAAUGUGGGAAUUUUUAGAAAGACAGCUGUUUUGCUACUUAGUUCUCCUCUGGCAUUGCUCUGCACUGGGCUGCAAGAUCUGUUAGGGAAAUUAGAUAACAUUCCAUUCAGGUUUCAACAAGUGAGAAAGCCAACUCCUCCUGGCUUUUAAUUUUUACACUCUACCACUGAUUCACACUGCCCCAGCUCCCAUUGCAGAGUCCAGACCUUCCUCUAGCAGUCAAAAACUCUAAAACCCAGACGACUUAAUCAACCAGGAUCAGUGACGAUGCAGCAACCUGCCACUCCCAUCUUAUUUUUCUGCAUCAUCCUGUUUAGGAAAACAUUUAAAUCACAUCUAGUGCUGUUUUUUCCCCUGCUGUAUUUCUAGAAGAGCUAACACUAUGUCAAAGGAAAACUCUACCCACGCCAAUAAAAAUCUUGGAGCUGUUCCACUCUCAAUGUAGUUCAAUGAGAUUUCAAUUUCCCUGCAGGCCAUUCCAGGUUAUUUCCAAAUGGGCUUACUCCACUGCAGAGAAGUGGUAUGACUUCUGCAUCAACUUGAUUUUGGAAGGUCCCAAAGCAUUCUUUAAUCUCUACCCUCAACCCAACAUCCCACCUCCCUUCACCACACUGUUCUUGGAAAACAACUGUAUUAUACAGGGAGCAAGCCUGGCUCUUUUCCCCUUCCUCUAGGUUUCACCUAUGCUUUAUGGUUACAUCUUGCCCAGCACAGCUCAGCCAUUCAUGUCUGAAUGCCCUGCCCAGGGAGGGAUAUGUAUUUGAUCCUUAGCAAGGCUCAUCCUCCUCACCUGUUACUUGUUUGGCAAGUGACCCCAAAUUUCAGGGUUUAAAGCCCUGGAGUCAUAGAUCCACACCCAACUGAAGCAGCAAAGCAAACCAGUUUGAGCAGCUGGCAACAGGAAAAAGCUGUAUUUGGUGUUUGCACUGCCAUGUGCUCCACCCAGAGCUGUCAUUUAAGGUCCUCCUUCCAGUAAGAAUCUUGGCUGCCCACAAAAAGAACAUUAAGGGACUUUCAAUAGAUUCAUGCACAGGAUAACAGGACUUUGAAAAACAAGAAUGCAGAGGAAAACGUGUUCAUCUCUGCAUGCCAGCCUGAGCAAAGAUGAGCCCUCCUGGCUUUGGCUUCCCAAUUGCUGGCAAUGCUGCAGAGGCUGUGUAUCAAGCAGCAGAAGUAAAUGGUACCUACACAACUGGUAUUUUAAAUGUUACAUUGGCUGUUGGUAACCUAAAGAGUUCCUCUUCUUAAAGACAUUAAUGGUACUUUCUAUUAACCCAGAGUUUUUAUGGCAAAUGCAUAGUAAGAGGUCUCCUUUCCCAAAACAUUAUAUUUAGACAGUUGAACAGGGAAGAGGGGGAGGAAAGAAGUGUAAAAGGCAUCGUUAGGACUUGCAUGUAAUAAAUAACUUCUUCAUAUGGAGGCAUUUUAAGAGCUCUCAGGUUUUUACAGGCAAGUAAUUCAAGGGUGUGUCCAGGCUUCAGAGAUGCUGAAGUACACCUUGUGAUCACAGAACACACCCACCUACAAACAAAGGCUUUGUAGAUUACAGUACAGGUACAUAUGGGGCAGAUGGUUUGCUACUGAAUAUACAGCCCUUGAUUUCCAUCAUGUACAUUCAUCUUCAGCUAGAGAUUAGCUGGAGUUGCUUCUUUAUUUAGUUUAGACUCACACAUUCUGACUUAUUUUGACAAUGUUCACUUUCAAUAGCUUUUAGCCUAUCUAAUGGCAGGCAUGUUUAAGGCACUGAAACCUGUGAAAUGCUUUUUUGACCAUUUAUUUGUCAAAUGACUAUGCUGAUAUUAAACAGGAGAUGAAGGUGCCUUCAAGUUCUGUGAAAUUCUAGAAGCUAAUUUUAAGCUAGUCUUUAUAGGUCUCCAUUUCACCCACUUAUGUUACAGUGCAACUGAAGUGUAUCCUUAUAAAUUCUCAGAAUAGAUUCAUCAUUCAAUUUUCUCACUCCUUAAAUGCAUGGAAUCCUCAGUGUUAUCCCAUGGGGAGCUGAAGAAUAGUUGAUUCACAUGAAAUAUUCCCUGUAUCAAAGCUUCUGAUCUAUCCUAGGAGGAGCAGCAGCAGCUAGUUGCAAUGGAAUGUCAUGGCUUUUUUGGAUCAAGACAACAUUCUUCAGAUGCUUAGUCCUAGAGCACUCUGUCACCCUCUCCCUUCCCACAAGGGGAGUGUAAAUAUCUGUUUCUAUAGAAGUUAAUAAUGUGUCUUCAAGCAAGCUUUGCUUUACCAGUUCAAGCAACAGAAAAGAAACAUGAGAGAACUGUGCAUUGUUUAGCAUCAAUGUCAUAAAUACCAACAUGAUAUACAAAUCCUGUUGGGAAGGAUCCAGAUCAGACCCAGUCCCUUGUGGUGCCCAAGGCACCCUUCCUGACAUCUGACUCCAGAGAGACCAUGACAUGAGCUACAGUGUGGAUGCCCUGGAUGAAUUCAGGUGUGGACCUAAAUGAAAGCUGGAGUUCUGCCUCUGAUGGAGCUGCAUUGCCAGGAAUACUGGAAUAAUGUCUGGGAGCUGCAAGAACCAGUGCAUGUGCUUGGUGAGGGCUCCAGGGACAUCUCCGUUGUGUGAUAGGCUCAGCCCUUGGAUUUAACUGGGCUUUGCUUGGUGCAUGGCUGAAUAGCCUUAGUAAUUAUGAUCUGUUUCAAAUGGGUUUUGAGUUUGUCAUUUCCUGCUAUUUUUUUUCAUGUUAGUAAACACUACUGGCUAUAUAGAAUAGCCACUGUCACAUUUAAAAUAAACUUCCUAUGGAUCUGUAUACAAAAAUAAUAGCAGACACUCAGGAAAUCAUGAGAGUGUCCUGCAAGAUACUCUGUAAACAAAGAUUCUGUAAAUACUACUAGGUGUUCACUGUUGCAGACCUUCAGAUGAUACCUCUUCCAGCAGAUACUUUGGAUCCAAGCUAACUGCACUGAGCACAAGAGUUAAUGUGAGACCAUUUGGCAAAGACAACGGUUCAAUUGCAGGGGAGGAUAUUUUCUUUCACAUUAUGAAAGGCAGGUUGAUGGUUUAUUUCUUGCACUGCAAUAAUAGCUAAAGGCACAUGUCCAAAUUAUUCUUCUGGGUCAGCUAUUCAAUCUGUUGUCAAAAAUAAAUACAGUCCUGAACAACCCACUUCCUCCUAGUUACACCUCCACUUUACAUUUAAUAAAGGAGGAAUCUUAUUUCAUUUUGACUAUUUUAGGUAGCCUUUCAGUUUAAUAAUUAAGCUCUUCUUCCUAAAUGGGAUAAUUAUUUUGUACAUUUAUAGAAGUAGAAUGUUUUAUUGUAAAAUUGUUCCUGAAAUGUGUAUCAUAAAAAAGUGCCUUUCUGAAUGCUAAAACUACAUACUUCAUGCAUAUGUCAUAGGUGUUAAGGAGAGACAUAUCAGACAUGAGUUUUUCCAGUAUUUUUUCCACUGUGACAAAGUAAGUUAGUAAUGCACACUCCUAUUUACUAAAUAUUUAUAUUCACACCAUCAUGCAGAUGAGACCUAUGUAGAUGAACUACUUCAGAAAUCAUCCAGACACGGAAUUGCACCUGUUGCCAACAUUAAUGUUGGCAUAUAAUGCAACUUCUCCAAACAGUGCAGACUAAGGACAGGAUGCCAUCCACAGGGAUCUAGACAAGCUCAAGAAGUGUGCCCAUGAGAUUCUCGUGGAUUUUAACAAGCCCAAGUGCUGGUGCUGCACGUGGGUCAGCCCGUGGUACCAGCACAGGCUGGGGAUGGACAGAUCAGAGCAGCUCUGCCCAGAGGGGCUUGGGGGUGCUGCUGGGUGAGAGGCUGGGCAUGACCCAGCCAUGGGCACUGCCAGCCCAGAGAGCCAAACGUGUCCUGGGCUGCAUCCAGAGCAGUGUGGGCAGCAGGGCAGGGAGGGGAUUCUGCCCCUCUGCUCUGCUCUGCUGAGACCCCACCUGCAGUGCUGCACCAGCUCUGGGGUGCCAGCACAGCAAGGACAUGGACCUGCCGGAGAGAGUGCAAAGGGCCACAAAGAUGAUUAGAAGGGUGGAGCAUCUCUUCUAUGAGGAAAGACUGAGAGAAUUGGGAUAAUUCAGCCUGAAAAAGAGAUGAUUUAGGAGUGACUUAAUUGGGGCCUUCCAGUAUUUGAAGGGGAGCCUUACAAGAAAGCUGGGGAGGUAUGUUUUACCAGGGCAUGUGGUGACAGGACAAGGGGAAAUGGAUUCAAACUGAAAGACAGCAGAUGUAAAUUAGAUAUUAGGAAAAAAAUCUUUACUGUGAAGGUGUUGAGGGACUACCCCAGGUUUCCCAGAGAAAUCAUAGAUGUCUCAUCCCUGGACGUGUUCAAGACACAGGGUAGAUGGAGCUCUGAGCAAACUAGUAUAGUGGAAGGUGUCCCCAUGGCAAGGGGGUUGGAACUAGAUGACUUUUAAAGUCUUUUCCAGCCCAAACCAUUCUGUGAUAUGCAGCAGCCUUCCUCAGCUAUUAAAUGGACUAGUGGGAGUAGCUCAAGGUGUAGAGCUCUUGGUAGGAAAUCGCUGAGCAGAGGCAGCAGAAUUUAGAAUCAUCAGUUUAUCAAAUGACUCAGAUAAUCAGGCAAUUGCAUGCUCAAAGUACACUACAUGGAAACACAGGGGAUUCUUUUCAUGUGCAAUUACUAAAUAGGUCAUGUUAGUCUUUAAUUUGGCAAAGCUCAUAUACAUAAAUACAUAGUUCAGAAUUAGAACUAAUUGAAUAAAAAAAAUUGUAUUUCUAUAAUCGCUCACACACCUUAAGUGUCCCUUCACACUGGAAUGUCAUUAUUGCUCUUUCAUAGUGAAUUUAAGGGUGUUUUACUAACUCAGCAAAUGAGACAGUUACAGCAUGUAGCAAGCUUUAAAAUAUUUUCAAAAGUGAAAUUAAAUAUUUCCUGUUGUUUUUUGUUUUGUUUUUUCCUUUUUCAGUUAAAGUAAGAACAAGAACAAUUACAGACUUUUUCUAUGUUCUUCAUAAGUGGUAAUUCAGAAAGUAAAUAAACUAAAUUACUUGACAGUACUUGAUUGCAAGAUGACAACUGUAUUUCAGGUGUGUAACUGAAACUCUUUAUACCAGCAGAUCUGCAUUUAACCAACAACAAACAUAAGCAUAAGAACUGCUGGAGUGAACACACAGUGGAAUUGGAAGAACUGAGAAGGAAAACUGUGCUACAUUCUCCUGGUCUAAGUUUUCCAGUAUUGUGUUUUAUUUACUUGCUAUUUGUGUUUAAUUGUAUUUUGGACUGUAUUUUGGUAUUUGUAUUUGGGCGAGUUUUAAAUUGUAGUUUAAUUAAUACCCUGCAAAACAUACACAUGAAAAUACAGCAUGUAAGGGGAGGAGUGGGAAAAGAAAUAAAUACCUGGUUUCCUAAAUAUUCCUGUCCCAGGUUUUUCCCUUCCUCCAAAGAUACAGAAAUUAAAUCUCACUUCUUGUUUUCAUGAAAUAAGAUCAAACUGCAAACAUAAUCUUACAAAUAGUGCUGCUAUUUGGCUCUAGACAUUACAGCUGUAACACUGAGUUAUUACAGUAUUGUUCAGUUGUUAUUACAGUAGUUUCAGUAUCUAUUUUAUUGUAAACUCAAACUGAAACCUUAAAGUAGUAAGCCUAGUUAAGCCUUCAAGUUCCUCAUUAAUUAUCUUUUCACAUACUUCAUUCUCUCAAAGCAAGGUCUCUGUGUCUUAUUUUAAAUGGAACCAGGCUUAUCUUAAUGAUGGAGGAUUUAAAUAGGUGACCCAUAUGAACAUUAGCCAUGCUUUCAGAAAGGUGCCAAAAUGGUGC